rnacentral:rRNA from 1 species
UACGAAGGGGGCUAGCGUUGCUCGGAAUCACUGGGCGUAAAGGGUGCGUAGGCGGGUCUUUAAGUCAGGGGUGAAAUCCUGGAGCUCAACUCCAGAACUGCCUUUGAUACUGAGGAUCUUGAGUUCGGGAGAGGUGAGUGGAACUGCGUGUGUAGAGGUGAAAUUCGUAGAUAUUCGCAAGAACACCAGUGGCGAAGGCGGCUCACUGGCCCGAUACUGACGCUGAGGCACGAAAGCGUGGGGAGCAAACAGG